GACGAACGCUGGCGGCGUGCCUAAUACAUGCACGUCGACCUUAGUGGCGAACGGGUGAGUCACACGUGGGUUACCUGCCCAUCAGAAGGGGAUAACCCUUGGAAACCGGUGCUAAUCCCGUAACCUGCUGGAUGGACCCGCGGUGCAUUGGCUAGUUGGUGAGGUAAAGGCUCACCAAGGCCACGAUACAUAGCCGAACUGAGAGGGUGAUCGGCCACAUUGGGACGAAGACACGGCCCAAACUCCUACGGGAGGCAGCAGUAGGGAAUCUUCGGCAAUGGACGAAAGUCUGACCGAGCAACGCCGCGUGAGUGAAGAAGGUUUUCGGAUCGUAAAACUCUGUUGUUAGAGAAGCGGUAUCUAACCAGAAAGCCACGGCUAACUACGUGCCAGCAGCCGCGGUAAUAC
rnacentral:rRNA from 1 species